UUUCCGUAGGUGAACCUGCGGAAGGAUCAUUAAAGUUAUAGUCCCCCGGCCCUCUGGGCUGGGGUCUUCUAUACCACCCUUUGUUUAUUACACCUUUGUUGCUCUGGCAGGCCUGCCCUCGGGCUGCUGGCUCCGGCCGGCUCGCGUCUGCCAGAGGACCUAAACUCUGUUUGUAUAUGAAGUCUGAGUACUAUAUAAUAGUUAAAACUUUCAACAACGGAUCUCUUGGUUCUG
rnacentral:misc_RNA from 1 species